rnacentral:rRNA from 1 species
GAUGAACGCUGGCGGUAUGCUUAACACACGCAAGUCGAACGGACUCUUCGGAGUUAGUGGCGGACGGGUGAGUAACGCGUGAGAAUCUGGCUUUGGGUUCGGGACAACCACUGGAAACGGUGGCUAAUACCGGAUGUGCCGAGAGGUAAAAGAGAAAUUGCCUGAAGAUGAGCUCGCGUCUGAUUAGCUAGUUGGUGAGGUAAAGGCUCACCAAGGCAGCGAUCAGUAGCUGGUCUGAGAGGAUGACCAGCCACACUGGGACUGAGACACGGCCCAGACUCCUACGGGAGGCAGCAGUGGGGAAUUUUCCGCAAUGGGCGAAAGCCUGACGGAGCAAUACCGCGUGAGGGAAGAAGGCUCUUGGGUUGUAAACCUCUUUUCUUAGGGAAGAACAAAAUGACGGUACCUAAGGAAUCAGCAUCGGCUAACUCCGUG